GAGUUCAAAGUUCAGAGGAAGGGGCGAUAUUUACAAAAAAAUCGAGUGACCAAUUUGUAAGACAGUUUUGUGGUAGUAUACAGUAAUGAUAUUUAUUAUUGAUUUAAAUAAAAUUUGGAGUAGGAAACCGGAAAAAUCUCAAUUUUAAAGUUAGGAAAUUUUAAUUUUUGAUUUCGCUAUUUUUGUUACCACUGAAUAUCACCUUACCACUUGUGACAUACAUUGAACCAAAACUCUGUAUUUGAGUCUCAAGUUUGUUUAUGUAGGAAUGUUUUUUCUAGUAUAAACUUCAGAAAAUUGCAGAAGUUUUGAUUUCAGAAAUUGUAAACAAGAAUAUGACUGCUAUCCAACAUUGAGUAAGAAUGACAGAGCUCCUAGUCAGGACUAUCGUGGAAAAAACUUUACUCUUUUUUUAGGUUCGAUGUGAAACUGAGAAGCUGUCACCGAACCGAUUCUAUCGACGAUACAUCAAAUUAUUACAAAUCGUAUCUAGUCGAAGACAAUAACCUCAAAAAUUGAAAAAAAUUCCCUCGUUCUCUGUAAAUGCGGAAAAUCUCCAAAAAAAUUACAAAUUUAAAAAUCGGUAAUUUUCGACAUAUUUAAAAUUAUUUUAUUUAAAACUCAUAACUUUUUGAAAAAUAGAUGAAUAGUAACAAUUUUUUUUAAAUAAAUGUAUUGGGUAUUUACUUAAUAUUUGGUAUAUAUAGUUUUUUAAUCUGACCCUUCACCUGCCUACAAGGGAGGAUUCAAGAU